rnacentral:tRNA from 1 species
GCGGAUGUAGUUUAGUGGUAGAACAUCGGCUUCCCAAGCCGAGGGUCGCGGGUUCGAAUCCCGUCAUCCGCUCCA